GACGAACGCUGGCGGCGUGCCUAACACAUGCAAGUCGAGCGAUGAAGUUUCCUUCGGGAAACGGAUUAGCGGCGGACGGGUGAGUAACACGUGGGUAACCUGCCUCAUAGAGGGGAAUAGCCUCCCGAAAGGGAGAUUAAUACCGCAUAAUAUUACAGUUUCGCAUGAAAAAGUAAUUAAAGGAGCAAUCCGCUAUGAGAUGGACCCGCGGCGCAUUAGCUAGUUGGUGAGGUAACGGCUCACCAAGGCGACGAUGCGUAGCCGACCUGAGAGGGUGAUCGGCCACAUUGGGACUGAGACACGGCCCAGACUCCUACGGGAGGCAGCAGUGGGGAAUAUUGCACAAUGGGGGAAACCCUGAUGCAGCAACGCCGCGUGAGUGAUGACGGUCUUCGGAUUGUAAAGCUCUGUCUUUGGGGACGAUAAUGACGGUACCUGAGGAGGAAGCCACGGCUAACUACGUGCCAGCCGCCGCGGUAACAC
rnacentral:rRNA from 1 species